rnacentral:rRNA from 1 species
UACGGAGGAUGCGAGCGUUAUCCGGAUUUAUUGGGUUUAAAGGGUGCGUAGGCGGACUGUCAAGUCAGCGGUACAAUUGAGAGGCUCAACCUCUUCCCGCCGUUGAAACUGGUGGUCUUGAGUGGAUGAGAAGUACGCGGAAUGCGUGGUGUAGCGGUGAAAUGCAUAGAUAUCACGCAGAACUCCGAUUGCGAAGGCAGCGUACCGGCAUCCAACUGACGCUGAGGCACGAAAGCGUGGGGAUCAAACAGG